GGGGCGGGGACGGGGACGCGGAGGAGGGGAGCAGGAGGAUUGAGGGGAGCCGGGCGCGGGGGGACGUCGGCGCGCAGGACGUUCACGCCCGCACCUUUCCGGCCUGUGGCGGUUCCAGCCCCAGACCGUUUGCAUCUGGAGGAUUUCUGGCCAUCCAAGAACAAACUUCCGAAUCUCCAAAUUUUCAAGCCUUGGAAAUGGGAAAACAAACCGAGAUCUCUCCUUCUCCAACCUUUGAAAGAACCGAAGUAACUCCCAACCCUCCCCACCUCCUGGGACCGGCCGGCCAGGAACAUUUAUAAGUAAUGACUGUGUCACCUAGGAACACAAAUUAGGCUCCUGUGCUUCCCCUGGGGACGAGCUAGACGGGGUUUCACCAUGUUGACCAGGCUGGUCUUGAACUCCUGACCUCAAGUAAUCCACCUGCCUUGGCCUCCCAAAAUGUGGGGAUUACAGGCGUGAGUCACUGCGCCCGGGCCCCUUGAGGAAAUUCUUAGAGUCCCGACUGGAAGUGGCUUUGACCUUCUGGUCCUCUUCCCUCAGCAACGUGGCCAUGCAUCCUGCAAGCCCUUCAAGCGCUUCAGAGCCAGAUUGGCCCUCUGAGGUCACAGCAUGCCAGCCACAGAGGAGAGUCUGGACUGGAAGGGACCCCACAGGCCACUGAGUCCAUCCCCCCGACCCAACCCCCCAAAGUUCCCCAGGCGGAGUCCCAGAAAUCCCGGUCUGCCUGCCUGGCCCCUCCACCCCACUGACCGAUGCUGGAGUUCCGGCUGCUCCUGGGCUUGGCACACAGCACGCUGGAGAAGAAGACUCGCAGCUGGCUGUAGAGGAGCGUCACAUCCCGGCCUCGGAAUAUCUGUAGGGUGGGAAGGCAAAGACAGCGGGUGAGGUUGGCCCUCAGCGAUCUUUCUCUACUCCACCAGGUUCCUUGAGACUUACCUUGGCCACAAAGCAGCCCCCUGGCUUCAGGACAUGUGUAGCAAUGUUCAGAGCCUGUGGGCAGGACAGACGGCUGAGGCUGAGGUGGAGACAGCCAGGAGGGGGCCAAAGUGGGUCAGGGGUGGCCAGGGUUACUCACAGCUAGGAGAAGCUGGGCCUGCAUAUACUCAUCAACAUCAUGGAGGCCGGUUACUGUGGCAAGAGGAACAGCGUUAGGGGGGCCUAUCCUGCUCUGUGCAUCUUCUUGUACCACACAGAUCAGACACUAAAAACAUUUUCCAGGCUCUCUUACUGCUAA